rnacentral:rRNA from 1 species
CCUACGGGUGGCUGCAGUUUCGAAUCAUUCACAAUGGGCGAAAGCCUGAUGGUGCGACGCCGCGUGAGGGAUGAAGGUCUUCGGAUUGUAAACCUCUGUCACUGGGGAGAAAACGCUUUGAGUUAAUAGUUCAAAGCCUGAUUUAACCCGGAGAGGAAGCAGUGGCUAACUCUGUGCCAGCAGCCGCGGUAAUACAGAGACUGCAAGCGUUGGUCGGAUUGGCUCGGCGGCGGUGGGGCGUGUCAGAUUGGAAAUCCCGAGGCUUAACCUCGGAACUGCGUCUGAAACUACUCGACUAGAGUACUGGAGAGGGAAACGGAAUUCACGGUGUAGCAGUGAAAUGCGUAGAUAUCGUGAGGAACACCAGAGGCGAAGGCGGUUUCCUGGACAGUUACUGACGCUCAGGCACGAAAGCAUGGGGAGCAAAAGGGAUUAGAUACCCGUGUAGUC